rnacentral:lncRNA from 1 species
CAGGAUUACCAGGAAUGCCAGGUUUAUCUGCUCCAAUACCGUCUGGGUGUAAGUGUAAUGGGUUAACUACAAUUACAACAGAAAAUGAAUCAGUUGUUUUAACAAAGUAUGGUAAGCAUAGUUUUGUUAGUUAAGAAAUAAUUCCUUCAUGUCAUGUUCUAUGUUUAUUUUAGAAUAGUAGGCAUUAUAUUUGUCGAUAUUUUACAAUGAGCGUUCUGAAAAGACAAAUACAGUAUUUGCAUAGGUCGAACCGUACUAACAUGCCUUGAAAAUGUUUGGCUGUUCUCGUUUCCAAGCGCGGGAAGGUCGUAUCAAUUGGGAGGUAUAUACUCCGUAUUGCUUAAAUAUAUAUACUUCAUUAUAAUAAGAAUGAAAAUAACGAGAAUAUAAACAGUAAAUUUGUGCGCAUGUGUCAAACAUAUGUUGUGUUAUUUAGAACACGGCUUUGUUUACAAGUGUAAUAUGAACGUUUUUUUCAGAAUUCAACUUAGAUAUUUGGUAAAAAGAUAAUCAUGAAACUAAGGUUUCAAUUCCUCAGGAAAAGAUGAACGAUGAUGUAUUUUGCUAUUAUUUUUAUAUUAAUGUAUUAGGAAUGUUGCAGUUUAUACUGUCUUUAAAACACAAUAUGCAUAUCAAAAACAAGAAUUAAUGAUAUCUUUGUUUUCUAUAAUAAGAAUUUUUGGUGCGGCAUUUGACUCAUACGAAUAGAAGAAUAGGUCAGCAAGAUAAUGUUCAUAAUUCGAUCAUAGAUUGUUUUUCUUUUUUAUAUAAACACGUCCUCCGAACGUAACAUAUAUGUUGUCAAUAAAAAAAAAAUCAAGUAUCUUCAUAUUGUACGUACUAGUAUAAGGGAGAAUGGAUUUGUUUGAACCCAUAUUGACGUUUUGAAAUGUAAAUGUAUUCCUUCAUAAAAAACAUUGCAUCUACGUUGGCCAUUCUUUUUCGUAAAAACUGAAUAAGUCUAAUUCUUCCAAUUUGUUUUUAAGUUUGGAAGGAGGGAUACUUUUGAAAGGUGUAGAAAUAUUCAAUGAUUUUAUACUAUUCGCAAAAGGAAAGAUGGUAUCUUCCUUUGCAUAUCUUAGAACUGUUUAUGAUUUACACCAUCCCUUUCACUUAAAGUUCGUUUCAGAACAACUCCAGGCAUCUAUUUCCGAUUAAAUUGAUGUUAAUGCACAAUUAGUAACAGAGAGACAACAACCCGACCAUAGAGCAGACAACAGCAGAAGGUCACAAACAGGUCUUCAAUGCAACGAGAAAUUCUCGCACCCGGAGGCGUCAUUCAGCUGGCCCCUAAACAAAUAUAUACUAGUUCAGUGAUAAUGAACACCAUACUAAACUCCAAAUUGUACACAAGAAACUAAAAGUUAAAAUAAUACAAGACUAACAAAGGCCAGAGGCUGCUGACUUGGGACAGGCGCAAAAAUGCGGCGGGGUUAAACAUGUUUGUGAGAUCUCAACCCUCUCCCUAUACCUCUAGCCAAUGCAGAAAAGUAAACGCAUAACAAUACGCACAUUACAAUUCAGUUCAAGAGAAGUCUGAGUCUGAUGUCAGAAGAUGUAACCAAAGAAAAUAAACAAAAUGACAGUAAUACAUAAAUAACAUCAGACUACUAGCAGUCAACUGACAUGCCAGCUCCGGACUUGAAUUAAACUGAUUGACAAAUUACGUCUUCAUCAUAUAAAUAUCAGGCACAAUCCUCCCCGUGAAGGGUUUAGUAUCAUACCAUCAUAACAUAUAUGAGAAGAACAUAACCCGUGUCUAAGAAUGAUGUCCUUAUACCGAUGAUAAAAUUUAGUAAAUGUUUUGACUAGUUUGUGAUAUCGGAAACCCUGGUGUAAUAAUUUUUCAGUAAUACAUAAAUUUCUCUCGUUAAAAUCUACAACAUUGUUACAUACACGAGCGAAUCGUACAAGUUGCGAUACAUAAACACCGUAAGAUGGUGACAAGGGAACGUCACCAUCCAAAAUUGAAAAUGGAUAAUUAACGAUAGGAAAUGAGAAAUCAUCUCUUUUAUCAUAAAUUUUAGUAUUAAGCUUUCCGUUAAUGAUAUAUAUAUAUAUCAAGAUCGAGGAAAGGACAGUGGUCAUUGUUAGUAUCAGCUUUAUUUAAAGUAAGUUCAACAGGAUAAAUUUCUUUAGUAUACAUACUGAAGUCGUCAUUAUUUAAUAGUAAAAGUUCAAUUAUAAGUUAAUAUUGAUAUUAAAAGACCUCCGAACAAACAGGGGUGUUCAGAUCCCCGAGCCUAUCUAAAUGAAGCAAAAACACCUGAAAUAAAGUUCUCUUCAGAAGCUGCUGUCAUGACUACAGACAAGAUUUAAAUGACAGUUGGAACGUUUUGACGGUUGUAUAUGUAAUUGAUACUAAGCUAUAGUUGAAAGUUUCAUUCACCAGAAGAUCUCAACAUUAUUCCAGAAUAUCUCAACCGAUACCAGAAAAUAUCAACAUGACAUACUUUAUAGCAUAUUUCGCUUAAUGCAAUUAUAUAAGUAAAGAAAAAGAACAAACUAUAAUUUUAUGUUUAUAAGGUUUUAGAAAAAUACGUGAGCAUAUCAAUGAUAUCGCUGUCAUUUUGUCAAUAGCUGAAUGCACUGCCACAUUUACCUGCUGGAGAAAAGUCAUUCCGAUGUCAUUUCAAAUCAUAUUGGUCCAUGUUAUACACGAGAGAAACCCUAAUUCAAUUAUCUAUGGCAUGACAUUCGCCUAUUUUAUAAAAAAAACGCAUUGAUUUUCAGUAAAUUGACGAAAAGUCGACCUACCCUAUGUUUAUUUUGGAUAAUUUGAACCAGAAAAGCUCAACAGGAAGUGCCAGAAUACUUUUUUCCGUCUCAACCAUUUGGUUGAGAUUAGAUGGUUUACCAGGCGUGAUUAAGAUACAUGCGAAUGCAAAAUAAUUAGUUUUGUCUUUUCAGUCCAAUUAAUUAAUAGAUCUUGCUUAAUUUGUGUGUUUUUUAAAUAAGAACUAUGCAUGCAAACUUUAAUGAAUAAAACCGUAUUAAACUAGGUUUCACUGUCCCGAUCAAAACGUGUUGGGUGAGAUAUACAUUAUAUGAAAACAAACACUUUAAUUUAGUCGUCCGUUGUUCCCUUUUCAUGUCUAAAUGAAGCAAAAACACCUGAAAAAAAACUUUUAUCUUUCUUAGUUUUAUCCUUGCCUGACACAAUAAUUCACAUGUUAUAAAUCGUAUUUCAACAUUAGAUAAGAACAAUAGUAGAAAAAUAUUUAAAACUUUUGAAUAAGCUGUCAAUUAUGUGAUAAACUGAAAAGAAUUCUGUGAAACUGUAUUGUAUAUUGUACUUUAGUUUUUGGUAUGAUAUUCUGUACUACCGAUCACUACCGCUCUCCUUGUUGGGCUCGUGUCGGGGUGUUCGCUUCGAGAGCGGGAUGUCAUUAAAUUUGUUCGAAUCCCGAACGACCAAACAAAGACGUUAAUUAAAUUGGUAUUCUAUUUCAACGCUUAAAACGUGGCAUCAUAGAGUAAGAGCACAGACUGGCCGGUUCAGAGUCGGAAAUGUGUCCGGGUCGGUUCACUUUUCUUCCUGCGAACUAAUAUCUUGUGAACUUACACGAUAAAAAAAAACCGACUCAGCUUGUCAGUCUAGUAAAAAACGGGGUUAAUACUCUUAUUAUAUUUACACGUAAUCGUCCUGAAUAUUAAUUUUAUUCGCCGCUGGUCGUCAUCCAUUAUCAUUACUUUAUUUUACCGUUUUAUUAUACAGUGAAGUGUUUUUCUUUUACUGGUAUAUAUUAAAACUUCUUAAAUUUUCACCAAUCAAAAUUAAAAAAAUGGCAGGUGAAAUUUUUCAAACACUUGUGAUUGUUGGGAUAAUUAUCUUUGACGGUAAAUAAUAUUCAAUCAAAUGUGCAUUUUCGGAUUUAUAAUAUUUGACGGAAAAUGAUAAUGAAUUAACUCCGUAUAACUAUUUUUUAGUCAUAGGUCGGUUUUGAGCUUACUAUUCAGUAUACAGAAUUUUAUAUAAAAAGAAGACCGAAUGUUGACUCUAAAUAUUUUUUUUUAUCUGUGUCUUUGGGUUGCUGUCGCACUAAUAUAUACCUUUAUCUCCUUUUAUUCAAAACAAAGAUUCGCUUGGGUAUAGAACUAUUGACAUCUCUAGACCUCUCCCCAGUCAGGAUCCUACUUCGUCAGAAUUAUCUCCCCAUUACGCCAGUUCAUUUUCACAAUCGUAGAAAUGGAAGCCAUUGUAGGGAUGACGCGCUACAAAUUUUGCUCUUGGAAACCGAUAAAUUUAUCCACAUUGCACCAUUAUGAUCCUUAUAUGUCAGUUGUAUUUUGAAAGACAAAUGUAUAAACUAGCUAAUGAGCAUCUAAAUGAUAUUGUCUGCAUUGAUUCAACUUAAAACUAUUGUCUGAUCGGUUGUCGGGUGGAAUUUUCGAAAAUUCAUAAACAUUUAAAAAAAAUUCGAAUUAAAAAUUUCGUGGAAGGGCAGACUAGAUUUUUUUAGUGUAGAAAGACUAUAAACCGUAGUUUACACACACAAGAAAUUAAAAUUUUUCAAAGAUAUGCAUUUUCAUCAUCCAACUUGAAAGACUGUCGUCAAGUACUUUUAGUAAAAACAAUAGCUAUUCGAACACACCUUCUCUGUUUUUGUGACUCAUUAGAUAAGUAUUUUACUUGACCCAUAUAUUUCAUCUUUUAGUACUGUGAUUUUUUAGUGUUAUAAAGUCAAUCUGUAGCUUUGAUAUAUAAAAAUGAUAGAAUCUGAAGCGAGACUAUGUAUGAAAUAUUCGUACUUUGUACGAUAUCAAGACAAAAAAACCAUCUCAAACACACCCUAAUAUAACAAGAUGCACUCGAUUUUCUCUUUUCGAUACAAUUGUUACCCAUUUUUUGGAAUUUUAUUUUGAGUCACAUAAUGGAAGGGCAGACACGAAAAUUUCUGAACUAAUAGAUUGAAAUGUUUUCCGUCCGUGGUAAAUUUUUCAAAAACAUCGGAGGUUAUGCAUUUUCUUCAUCCAACUUGAAAGAUACCCAUGUCGUCGACUUGAAAUCUAAUUGUUCUGCUUAACUAUGUACUAGAUAAAUUGAAAACUUAUGCAAAGGGUGUUUUUAAAAUAAAACACCUCGUAAUUGAGAAGAAAAUUGUAAUUUUGUUUGUUUCUAUUAACUUUUAAACAUUUUGUCACUAUAGUAAACAAUACAGUACACAUUUAUUGCCUUCUCUAACAAAGAGCUUCGAUUCUUUUGUUCUAUUUCAACCGGGUUUCCGAAUGUCCCGUCCCACAGUAUACCCUUGCUAAAUGUGUGCGUUCGUUUGGCUUAUUGGUUAUAUAAAAACGCAGCUUUGUCCGAUCAAAAUAUAACAGGAAUGCAUAUCAGAUGUAUUUACAUUAAAAAAAAGAUUAGAGGGAAAGACGAUCUACGCACGAGUUGAUUGAUUGAAAUAUGUAAACAACAAGACAGGUCAGCUUAAUCGUUUUAAGUAAGUCGCAUGGCUGAACGCUCGAAAUAAGUUGAAUCAUUUUUAUAUAUUGUCAACCUUUUUUUUAUCAUUUUUUUUUUUUUUUUUUUUUUGGCUUUUAUGACAACUAUUAUAUACCAGUCUGAGAUAUAAAUAAACUUAAAACAGCAAAUUUUGUCACCUAGACGAGACAGCCGUUAUUGUACGCUUCAAUAUAUGAGUUAUUGCCACUAAAUGAAGAUUGUUUUUCUGUUCUAGUCCCUCCCCUAUUAGUUUUGCUGGAAAUUAUAGAAUGUAACCCCUAAUGCGUACUAUGAAAACGUUUUGUUUUUUUUUAAUAUUGAAAAAAAAAAGAUUAAAUUCAAAGAGAAAAAUAAUGGAAGAAAUGCUAAGAUUUACGCAUAAAAAUUCAAAUGUAAAUAAAAAUGAAAUAUAUAAAAAUUGGAAAACUUUUUGAGACUAUAAUCAAGGACAAAUGAUUAUAAGUCACUAAAUGAAGCUUAUUAAUUCAUUGCUCCUUUGUGUCCAGUGGCAAAUAUGUCAUGCAUUUUCACGACUAGAUUCAAAGUGGAUCAAUUUGAAGCAAGAUACCGCCUGAUUAUUGAUCAGGAUAUUUAAGCAACCAAAAGCAUUUUGAAUCAAACAAAUUCUUGAAAUUGUAAAUUAAGGUGUUUUACUGCGUGUUUUUUUCCCCUUCUCAAUCCUAUUUCAGACCCCCUGAUUUUAAGAGGGUGUAUCUAAUUAGUCAUGCUCCAUUAAAUUUAAGUAAAUUGAACCUCAACUUAAAGACCUACAUCGGGUAAAUAAGUUCGAGGUACAAUAAGUAGACAAUAGAAAUCCUUUGUGAAAUAAGAUCGUCCCAGGUAUCUUAGAAAAUAAAUUUGCGUUGAAUAACAAUGAAAAAUGCACGAGCAGGUUUGUAAUGAGAGCUAAAAUAUCAUCCAAAUAUCUUAAAGUAUUAUUAAAUUUGUGUAUCAGAUGUUGUUUCGAUGGGUCUUUGCUGAUUUUUGUCAUAAAUUGUAACUCAUAGCAAUACAAAUUAAAACAGGUUCGCAAUAAGUGGUGCAUAGUUAGUCCCCAUAGGAAUUCCGAUAACCUGACGAUAUACGGCAUCUCCAAAGCGAACAAAAAUGUUAUCUAGUAAAAAUUCAAGGGCAGAUAUAGUAUCAAAUACUUUUGUAAGUUUGGUAGCUUAUAUAUUGAAACCAAUCGAAACUAUUAUAAUUAUUUAGGAUUUCCAAUGUGAUAAGUUUACUCGGAUAUAUAUUGAUAUUCCUUAUGAAUUGUCAAUACAUGUACCUUAAUUUAUUUGUCAAGCAGUUAACGCGAUGUAAAACUAUCUAUAGACACAUUUUUACUUCUUCGAAAAAGAGGGACGAAAGAUACCAAAGGGACAGUCAAACUCAUAAAUUUAAAACACACUGACAACGCCAUGGUUAAAAAUGAAAAAGACAAACAAACAACAGCACACACGACACAACAUAGAAAACUAAAGAAUAAACAACAUGAACCCAACCAAAAAACUAGGGGUGAUCUCAGGUGCUCCGGAAGGGUAAGCAGAUCCUGCUCCACAUGUGGCACCCGUCGUGUUUGCUUAUGUGAUAACAAAUCCGGUAAAUAGUCUAAUUCGGUAGGUCACAUUCAUGAAAGGGAAGGGGAUUGUAGUAACAAUGUAAGGAACAAAUCCGAAAUCAAUUGUGAAACGGUUAUUCCAUAACGGUCAACCAACUCGUGAUGGCGUCCGUAAAAUUUACGAAGGGAUGAUUUCAACUUCACCAUUUGGAACUCUUGGUUUAAUAGCUUCCUUGUGAGCAGCAACCCUCUAUCAAGAAAAUCAUGAUAGGAAAUGCAAGCACGGGCAUAUCGUAUCAAUUGGGAGAUAUAUACCUCGUAUGCAGGUGCUGCUGGAAUGUUGCUACUUAGAAAUGGAAAGUUCACAAUUGGAAAGCUGAAAUCAUCUCUUUCGUGGUAAAGUUUUGUUUUCAACCGACCCUCAUUGUCAAUUUCUAGAUGUAAGUCAAGAUAUGAGGCCGACUUAACUGUAUCUGUAGUAUCCUUUAUCUGUAGCUCGAUUGGAUAGAUGCGUUCCACAUAAUAAAGCUGUUAUUUAGCUGCAUUUUGGAUUCGUCAGUAUGAUAUGUCUAAUUCUGUCAUGGGUGUAUACCAGAAUAGAUUCUUCAGUAUUACAAGUACACACCCGUGAUAUCGCGGGUCCGUGACUGAAUUAAAGUAUAUAACUAUGCCUAAGCCUUAUUUGUAAUUGGUAUUGUCAUCUGAAAAAGUCAUGUCGAUUAUAAGAUACACAGUUUUCUCUGCUUUCAAAUCUUUCUGUUUGAACCCGUCGACCUGGAACUUAUCCAUUAUUGGAAAUAUUAAUUAUUUGGAAAACAAAAGGUCCAGGCUUUCCAGGAAUGGGGUAUUUUUUAAUCAACAGCAUUGUCCUAUAUAAGUUAUCUUAGAAAGUCUUGCUGAUUGCUGAAUAAAGCUACAAUAGGGAACAAUUUGACAAUGAUUGAAUUUAGUAGUGUCAGCCCUUUGAUUAUGACCCGUGUAUAUAGCAAAAUCCUAAAUACACCGUUUGUUGGUGCGCCUGUCAAAUGCGGAACGUACAGAUAAGGUAAUAGCUAACAGGUGACUAUAUACUAUUGGUAUCGGUAUCGGAUUAGACCCGGAACUUGUUAAUUAUUGGCAAUAUUAAUUAUGUGGAAAACAAAAGGGUCUGAAGUGGUGUAAUUUUUAAUCUACACCAUUGUCCUAUAUUAGUUAUAUAUAGAGUUGAAUUCUUUGAUUUGUCGUUUUUACCCGAUGACGGCUGACAAAUUGGACCUCUUUAUUUUAGUAUUAUAGAUAACAUGUUCUGUCAUGGUUGUAAAAUGGAAUAGAUUUUUCGGCAUAAUAAAAUUAUUCCUGUCAUGGAUGUAAAACAGAAUAAAUUCUACAGUUAUUUCAUGUGUGUACAAAUGAAAAGAUUCUUCAGUUCUUUCAUUGGUGUAAAACAGAAAAGAUUCUUCUGUAUAAUAAACAUGUUCCUAUUCAUAGUUUAAGAUAUAAUUGAAUAUUCAGUAUGACAGACGUGUUCCUAGCUCGGGUGUAAACAAGAUUAGAUUAUUCUGUAUGGUGUACAAUAGAUUACAUUAUUCAGUAUGAUACAGUCAGAAACCCGGUUGAAAUAGAACAAAAGAAUCGAAGCUCUUUGUUAGAGAAGGCGAUAAAUGUGUACUGUAUUGUUUACUAUAGUGACAAAAUGUUUAAAAGUUAAUAGAAACAAACAAAAUUACAAUUUUCUUCUCAAUUACGAGGUGUUUUAUUUUAAAAACACCCUUUGCAUAAGUUUUCAAUUUAUCUAGUACAUAGUUAAGCAGAACAAUUAGAUUUUAAGUCGACGACAAGGGUAUCUUUCAAGUUGGAUGAAGAAAAUGCAUAACCUCCGAUGUUUUUGAAAAAUUUACCACGGACGGAAAACAUUUCAAUCUAUUAGUUAAAAUAUUUUCGUGUCUGCCCUUCCAUUAUGUAACUCAAGAAAAAAAUCCAAAAAAUAGGUAACAAUUGUAUCGAAAAGAGAAAAUCGUGUGCACCUUUUUAUGUUAGGGUGUGUUUGAGUUGGUUUUUUUGUCUUGAUAUCGUACAAAGUAAGAAUAUUUCUUACAUCGUCUAGCUUCAGAUUCUUUCAUUUUUAUAUAUCAAAGCUACAGAUUGACUUUAUAACACAAAAAAAUCACAGUACUAAAAGAUGAAAUAUAUGGGUCAAGUAAAAUACUUAUCUAAUGAGUCACAAAAACAGAGAAGGUGUGUUCGAAUAGCUAUUUUUUUUACUAAAAGUACUUGACGACAGUCUUUCAAGUUGGAUGAUGAAAAUGCAUAUCUUUGAAAAAUUUAACUUUUUUGUGUGUGAAAACUACGGUUUAUAGUCUUUAUACAAUAAAAAAAUCUAGUCUGCCCUUCCACGAAAUUUUUAAUUCAAAUUUUUUUAAAUGUUUAUGAAUUUUCGAAAAUUCCACCUGACAACCGAUCAGACAAUAGUUUUAAGUUGAAUCAAUGCAGACAAUAUCAUUUACUGAUGCUCAUUAGCUAGUUUAUACAUUUGUCUUUCAAAAUACAACUGACAUAUAAGGAUCGUAAUGGCGCAAUGUGGAUAAAUUUAUCGGUUUCCAAGAGCAAAAUUUGUAGCGCGUCAUCCCUACAAUGGCUUCCAUUUCUACGAUUGUGAAAAUGAACUGGCGUAAUGGGGAGAUAAUUCUGACGAAGUAGGGUCCUGACUGGAUAAAAGUGUUCCUAGCUUGGGGGUAAACAAGAUAAGAUUAUUCACUAGGGUGUACAAUAGAAUACAUUCUUCAGUAUGAUAAAAGUGUUCCUAGGUUGGGUGUUAACAAAAAUAGAUUAUUCAGUAUGAUGUACAAUAGAAUAUAUUAUUCAGUAUAAUUAAGUGUUCCUACCUUGGGUGUAAACAAAAAUACAUUAUUCAGUAUGAUGUACAAUAGAAUAUAUUAUUCAGUAUAAUUAAAAGUGUUCCUCCUUGGGUGUAAACAAAAAUAAUUACAUAUGAUGUACAAUACAAUAGAUUAAUUAUUCAGUAUGACAAACGUGUUCCUAGCUCGGAUGUAAACAAGAUUAGAUUAUUCAGUAUGGUGUACAAUAGAAUACAUUUUUCAGUAUGAUAAAAGUGUUCCUAUCUUGGGUGUAAACAAAAAUAGAUUAUUCAGUAUGAUGUACAAUAGAAUAUAUUAUUCAGUAUAAUUAAGUGUUCCUACCUUGGGUGUAAACAAAAAUACGUUCUUCAGUAUAAUACACAAUAGAAUACAUUAUUCAAUAUAAUACAAGUGUUACUAUUCUGGGUGUAAACAAGAAUAGAUUAUUCAGUAAUGUGUAUAAUAGAAUACAUUAUUUAGUGUGCGUGCUAAUAGUGUGUCUAUCCCGAGUGUAAAUAAACAUAGAUUAUUUACUAUGAUAAAAGUGUUCCUAUCCUGACAGUAAACCAGAUUAGAUUACUGGCACUGUUAACCAACUUAUUUUUGCAGAUACUUUAUUUCGCGUUUAGCCUUCCCUUUCGCGGCUAUUUAUUUUCGGAAUUAUUAAUUUGAUUGAUGUAGAUAAAAAGAAAGAUCCUAGUUUUAUAUAUUCGGGAUGAUUUUAAUUCGCGUUAUAAUUGUAUUGAUAAAUCGCGAAAAAUAAAUCGCUCGCGAACUUUAGAACUGUAUGCACGGUCUCAUAUCUGACUUGGUUCAUCCUAGUAGCUACUUUAACAACCAAUUUUACUGUUUACUAUAGUUUGAUUAUAUUGUUAAACACGUGUAAGUAACAGAGACAGAUAUAUCUUAGUAGAUGUGAUAAUGAUUCAAAUCAGGCAGCCAAAGUUUAGCAAGCAUACAUCAUACUAGUAGAUUUAUUAUAUCUCGUUGUGUUUUCAGACGGUCAAUGUAUAAUUCUCGAAUAAACUUACUUUUGAUAUUCAUACAAGUAAUUGUUGUUUCAGAUCAGUCAAUUGUGCCGAUAAUAAUAAUUGGAAUUAUACUGUUUGUCACAGACUUGGUGGUGAUUGGUUUGUUUAUUAUUGUAAAAAAAG